GUGAGGAAUUUUCCGCAAUGGGCGAAAGCCUGACGGAGCAAUGCCGCGUGAAGGAUGAAGGCCUAUGGGUUGUAAACUUCUUUUCUCAGAAAAGAAUUAUGACGGUAUCUGAGGAAUAAGCAUCGGCUAACUCUGUGCCAGCAGCCGCGGUAAGACAGAGGAUGCAAGCGUUAUCCGGAAUGAUUGGGCGUCAAGCGUCUGUAGGUUGUUUAAAAAGUAUUCUGUCAAAGAUUAGGGCUUAACCCUAGAUAGGCAGAAUAAACUUUUAAGCUAGAGUUUGGUAGAGGCAGAGGGAAUUCCCGGUGGAGCGGUGAAAUGCGUAGAUAUCGGGAGGAACACCAAAGGCGAAGGCACUCUGCUGGGCCAAUACUAACACUGAGAGACGAAAGCGAGGGGAGCAAAUGGGAUUAGAUACCCUGGUAGUCC
rnacentral:rRNA from 1 species